UACGUAGGGGGCAAGCGUUGUCCGGAAUCAUUGGGCGUAAAGCGCGUGUAGGCGGCUCGGUAAGUCUGUUCUGAAAGUCCAAGGCUCAACCUUGGGAUGCGGAUGGAUACUGCCGAGCUCGAGUCCGGAAGAGGCGAGUGGAAUUCCUGGUGUAGCGGUGAAAUGCGCAGAUAUCAGGAGGAACACCAAUGGCGAAGGCGGCUUCCUGGACCGGUUCUGACACUGAGGAGCGAAAGCGUGGGGAGCGAUCCGG
rnacentral:rRNA from 1 species